rnacentral:lncRNA from 1 species
UUCUGUUCCUCCCCGCCCUGGUGCUGCUCCAGGUCACAUACUCUUCCUGAGCCGGCUUCAGCCUCUCCGCGCAGAAGUCUCCCGGAGCCAUGGCCUAGUAUUCUUAUGUGAAGUCUACCAAGCUUGUGCUCAAGGGAACCGAGGUGAAGAGCUGGGUCCUGCAGCUCCGGCGGGAGCCUCCUCAGUUCUUUUCGGACGCACUCCACCCCCGCGAAUCCGGUGGAAGCCGUGAUGCGGAGAGCCGGCUUCGUGGCCUCCCAGGCUUCGCUCUGACCCUGUCUGGGCUGGAUGGAGGCCGGACCGCCCUUCCUGGCGCCUGUGCAGAGAGGGGCAGCCUCCUGCGCGGACGACCCUGGAAACAGGAUAGACGGGCGGGUGACCCGUGACCCCGUACCCACGAGUUUGGGUCCCUUGAGGCAUCUCUCCAGGCCUCUGCCUGAUUUGCCUGAGGUUGACUGUACAUGCAAAUAUUGAGCUUUCCUCCUGGCCUCCGUGAUAAACAGAAGUUUUGAUAUUGUUAGGCGAGAUGGAAAGAAAGUAUCAAGGAGUGAGCUGAAGCCACUGCCCUUGAGAACCCUCUCGAGGAGUCUGGCCUCAUGAAGAUGCCAGAAUAAAUGGCAGUAAGAAGAAAAAGAGCAAAGAUAAGAAGAGAAAAAGAGAAGAUGAAGAAACCCAGCUUGAUAUGUUGGAAUCUGGUGAACAGUAACAAACUUUGGUGAAAUUUCAGGAACCAUAGCCAUUGAAGUGGAUGAGGGAACCUAUAUACAUGCACUCAACAAUGGUCUUUUUACCCUGGGAGCUCCACACAAAGAAGAAUCGCCCUGAAACCUGGCUAUGGAAAAUAUCUUAGUAUAAAUUCAGAUGAACUUGUUGUUGGCGUUCAGAUGCAAUUGGACCAAGAGAACAAUGGGAACCAGUCUUUCAAAAUGAUGGCCAUCCAGUAAUGAGAAUGAACAGUCUCCAACUAAAGGCAACAAUAUAGAUGAAUCUCGGAAACAUGAUAUUGACCAGACAGAAAAGAUUCCACUUACAUAAACUUCAAAAGAAGAUAAAACUGAUCUAUGACAUUAAUAGUCAGAAUAUUCAUUAUCCUUGAGGGAACUAAACUGGGAAGCCACAUGAUAGGGCAUCUGGAAGCUAGUAAUGUCCUCUUUCUUGAUCUGUUACAUUGGUGUGUUUAUUUCAUUAGAUUUAUUGAGCUAUACAUUUACCACCGUGUACUUGUCUCUGUAUAUGUUUUGCAUUGAAAUAAAUUUUACCAAUAAAAUGAUAAAGCAAAAUAA